rnacentral:rRNA from 1 species
UACGUAGGGUGCAAGCGUUGUCCGGAAUUAUUGGGCGUAAAGAGCUCGUAGGCGGUGUGUCGCGUCGGCCGUGAAAAACCUGGGGCUCAACUCUGGGCGUGCGGUCGAUACGGGCAUCACUUGAGUUCGGCAGGGGAGACUGGAAUUCCUGGUGUAGCGGUGAAAUGCGCAGAUAUCAGGAGGAACACCGGUGGCGAAGGCGGGUCUCUGGGCCGAUACUGACGCUGAGGAGCGAAAGCAUGGGUAGCGAACAGG